AUCUAACUGACGAGUCCAAAAUAGGACGAAACACACGUCCUGAAU
rnacentral:hammerhead_ribozyme from 1 species